GACGGGGGGUGCUAGCGGUGUUCGGAAUUACUGGGCGUAAAGGGCGCGUAGGCGGCUUUGCAAGUUGGGUGUGAAAGUCCGGGGCUCAACCUCGGAACUGCAUCCAAGACUGCAUGGCUCGAGACCGGGAGAGGAGAGUGGAAUACCCAGUGUAGAGGUGAAAUUCGUAGAUAUUGGGUGGAACACCGGUGGCGAAAGCGGCUCUCUGGCCCGGUUCUGACGCUGAGGCGCGAAAGCGUGGGGAGCAAACAGG
rnacentral:rRNA from 1 species